rnacentral:rRNA from 1 species
UGCAGUCGNNCGAACCUUCGGGUUAGUGGCGGACGGGUGAGUAACGCGUGAGAAUCUGCCCUCAGGAGGGGGAUAACGGUUGGAAACGACCGCUAAUACCCCAUAUGCCUAUUGGUGAAAUGAAUUUCGCCUGAGGAUGAGCUCGCGUCUGAUUAGCUAGUUGGUGUGGUAAUGGCUCACCAAGGCUUCGAUCAGUAGCUGGUCUGAGAGGAUGAUCAGCCACACUGGGACUGAGACACGGCCCAGACUCCUACGGGAGGCAGCAGUGGGGAAUUUUCCGCAAUGGGCGAAAGCCUGACGGAGCAACGCCGCGUGAGGGACGAAGGCCUCUGGGCUGUAAACCUCUUUUCUCAAGGAAGAAGAUAUGACGGUACUUGAGGAAUAAGCCCCGGCUAAUUCCGUGCCAGCAGCCGCGGUAAUACGGGAGUGGCAAGCGUUAUCCGGAAUUAUUGGGCGUAAAGCGUCCGCAGGCGGCUUUUCAAGUCUGCUGUUAAAGCGUGGAGCUUAACUCCAUUAUGGCAGUGGAAACUGAAAGGCUUGAGUAUGGUAGGGGCAGAGGGAAUUCCCGGUGUAGCGGUGAAAUGCGUAGAUAUCGGGAAGAACACCAGUGGCGAAGGCGCUCUGCUGGGCCAUUACUGACGCUCAUGGACGAAAGCCAGGGGAGCGAAAGGGAUUAGAUACCCCUGUAGUCCUGGCCGUAAACGAUGAACACUAGGUGUCGGGGGAAUCGACCCCUUCGGUGUCGUAGCUAACGCGUUAAGUGUUCCGCCUGGGGAGUACGCACGCAAGUGUGAAACUCAAAGGAAUUGACGGGGGCCCGCACAAGCGGUGGAGUAUGUGGUUUAAUUCGAUGCAACGCGAANAACCUUACCAGGGNU